GAUGAACGCUGGCGGCGUGCCUAAUACAUGCAAGUCGAGCGAACAGACGAGGAGCUUGCUCCUCUGACGUUAGCGGCGGACGGGUGAGUAACACGUGGAUAACCUACCUAUAAGACUGGGAUAACUUCGGGAAACCGGAGCCAAUACCGGAUAAUAUAUUGAACCGCAUGGUUCAAUAGUGAAAGACGGUUUUGCUGUCACUUAUAGAUGGAUCCGCGCCGCAUUAGCUAGUUGGUAAGGUAACAGCUUACCAAGGCAACGAUGCGUAGCCGACCUGAGAGGGUGAUCGGCCACACUGGAACUGAGACACGGUCCAGACUCCUACGGGAGGCAGCAGUAGGGAAUCUUCCGCAAUGGGCGAAAGCCUGACGGAGCAACGCCGCGUGAGUGAUGAAGGUCUUCGGAUCGUAAAACUCUGUUAUUAGGGAAGAACAAAUGUGUAAGUAACUAUGCACGUCUUGACGGUACCUAAUCAGAAAGCCACGGCUAACUACGUG
rnacentral:rRNA from 1 species